rnacentral:rRNA from 1 species
GAAUUCGGCUUAGAGUUUGAUCCUGGCUCAGACCGAACGCUGGCGGCGUGGAUAAGGCAUGCAAGUCCGAGCGAUCCCCGCAAGGGAUAGCGGCAAACGGGUGCGUAACGCGUAGGUAACCUGCCCCCGAAGCGUGGGAUAACCCAACGAAAGCUGGGCUAAUACCACAUGUGCUUGCCGGACCGCAUGGUCUGGCAAGGAAAGAUGGCGACCCGCAAGGGGCUAUCGUUUCAGGAGGGACCUGCGUCCCAUCAGCUAGUUGGUAGGGUCACGGCCUACCAAGGCGUAUGACGGGUAGCUAGCCUGAGAGGACGGUUAGCCACACUGGGACUGAGACACUGCCCAGACUCCUACGGGAGGCUGCAGUCGAGAAUCUUUGGCAAUGGGCGAAAGCCUGACCAUGCGACGCCGCGUGCGGGAUGAAGGCCUUCGGGUCGUAAACCGCUGUUACGAGGAACGAAGACCCCGCCUACUAAUAUUGGGCGGGAAGUGANAGGUAC